AGAGCAGCCAUUGGCCACAGCAGCCAACGGGGAAAGCACCGGGGAAUGCUGGGACAUGAAGUCUGAAUAAAGCAGCAGACACUGGCUGAAGCACACCGGAACAAGAGCAAAGGGUCUCCUAUCCAGGGCUAUUUCAGCCUACAAGUUUGACACACGCGAGUCGACUGGCUUUGACCUGAGAAGCAAGUGAUCACUGAAAUAUAAAGUUCGUGCAGGAGUGAACUCUGGUUCCUGACAGACGGAACUCAAGAACUUGAAGUCAUAAAAACAGAAUGACAGUCGCCAAAGACUGGGUGUGGCUGGAGGGAAACUGUUGGUCAAAGAGGAGACAACUGCAGGCCGAAAGGAAACAUGAAUUUUGAGAUCUGAUGCACAGUGGGGUGACCAUUGUGUAUUUCAAAAUUACUAAACAAGUACAUUUCACGUGUCUUGCUACAAAAGUGAUAAGCAUGGAGACAGGUUGCAUCAGUUAAAAGCACACACGCUCCAGCCGUCCCCAGCACUCACUUUAAUACCAGCUCCUGGUGAACCUAUGUCCAUUUCUGUGGUUACCUGCCCUCACACACAGAAAUGUGCAUGUGUGCAUGCAUGGGAACACACACACACAAUUAAGAUUCAAAUAAUAGAGCCGGGU
rnacentral:lncRNA from 1 species